rnacentral:rRNA from 1 species
UACGUAGGUGGCAAGCGUUAUCCGGAAUUAUUGGGCGUAAAGAGCGCGCAGGUGGUUGAUUAAGUCUGAUGUGAAAGCCCACGGCUUAACCGUGGAGGGUCAUUGGAAACUGGUCGACUUGAGUGCAGAAGAGGGAAGUGGAAUUCCAUGUGUAGCGGUGAAAUGCGUAGAUAUCUGGAGGAACACCGGUGGCGAAAGCGGCUUUCUGGCGCAUAACUGACGCUGAGGCUCGAAAGCGUGGGGAGCGAACGGGAUUAGAUACCCCU